UAUCAUCUUCUUUCUUCUUUUUUGGUUUCACUACUCCCUUAUCUUUUGUUCUUCAAUCAGGUUAUAUUACCAAUCCCAGAUAUUUAGUGAUCGUCAUGGAUUCCUCAGAACUUCGACGCAUUUUUCAAAUGUUUGACCGCAAUGACGACGGACGGAUCACAAAGAAGGAGCUGAAAGACUUGUUAGAGAACUUGGGCAUCCAAAAGUUAUAUUACCAAUCCUGGAUAUUUAGUGAUCGUCAUGGAUCCCUCAGAACUUCGACGCAUUUUUCAAAUGUUUGACCGCAAUGGCGACGGACGGAUCACAAAGGAGCUGAAAGACUCGUUAGAGAACUCAGGCAUGCAAAAGUUAUAUUACCAAUCCCAGAUAUUUAGUGAUCGUCAUGGAUCCCUCAGAACUUCGACGUAUUUUUCAAAUGUUUGACCGCAAUGGUGACGGACGGAUCACGAAGAAGGAGCUGAAAGACUCGUUAGAGAACUUGGGCAUCCAAAAGUACGUAGAAAACAUGCUUAAUUGAGUGCUUGUGCUGAUUUUUCAAGUCAAUGGACAUCUUCUUCACGUAUGUCCAUAGCCUCCUUAAUUGAUCAGUGCGCGACAUUUAAACUUUAAUGACUUGACCAUCAACAUCAUGAUGUCUCUUUACUUUUCAUCCGUAGGAAAAAAAAAUUAUAUUUUUCUUUUAAACAAGAGCCAAAGCAUUCACAAUCCUCUUUUUCUAUGCAAUAUAUACACAAUAAUGCAGAAAUUUGAUUGAUGUAAUCGCAAAUGGUAGACAUAUUGUAGUAAUUCAAGUUAAUUGUAGAUAUUAUAGUAAUCGACCAUCCAUCA